GGAAACCGGUGACCCGUCUUGGCUAUCAAAGCCGAGACAGGAAGUCCGGUGCUGUGCCGCAACUGUAAAUUUGCUACGCAAAUUUAUCCCAAGUUCGUCGAGGGGUAAUGCUUAGUAAAUAAGCCAGGUUAC
rnacentral:ncRNA from 2 species